GGAUGUGAGGACAAUCUGGUUGCAACAUGUCACCCCAUUGAUUGCCAGGGUUGAUUCAGCUGAUGUGGCUGGCUAGCCAAGUGUCCCCUUCCUCCCUCACUGCUCCAUGUGCAUCCCUCCUGAAGCUGCAUGCUCAGUGAAGAGGAUGACCAUCCCUGAUAGAGAAGGACCAUUCUUCCAUCAAGGGUAUACGGGUAGCUGACUCCCCUGCUAGAACCUCCAAACAAGCUCUCAAGAUUUUCCCAAUAACACACACAGAAAGCUUUUUUUUCCCUUCUAUUAUUUAAAAGUGUGGGCUGGGCAUGGCAAUGCACACCUGUAAUCCUGGCUAUUU
rnacentral:snRNA from 1 species